GAAGAAGAGGAUAAAAGGCAACACAAGAACACUGAUUCAAAAAGUGAGAACACGACUUUUCAUCGGAGCAAACGCAGAUUUCAAGAUGAGGUGUUUCCUUCUACUGGCGAUGUUGGUGGGGUGUGCUGCAGCUCUUGAAGAUCUGUCAGGAAAGAUGUUCACCUUCCCGGCGGAAACAAACUCCGCUCAUGUGAAGUUGAUCACCAUGAAACAUUAUUUCGGUGCUGUAACUGUAUGUCACAGGUCCGUAUGAAAGCAGAACCCUCUAUUAG